UGAUGUUUCAGACACUUUGGUAUCACGAGGUGUCUGGAAGAGGACGUCCACCAUUACUUUUAUGGUUGCUGCAGGAGAUGGACUGAAAAACCUAACCUGUACCGCCACCUUCUGGGGGGGAAAGAAGCAAGCCAGCACGGUCACAUUAAUUGUCCAAGGAACUCUGAAGCACCAGAUGGAGAAAUCUGUUCCUGUGGUUGUUCCAGUCUCCCUGUUAGUUCUGAUCCUCUUAGCUGUCGUGAUUGCCAUAGUCUUCCACCUGAAAAGGUGAAGCUCUAAGCUCUGAAUUUAAUGAUAUUUGCUUUAUUCUUUCUAUUGCGUUGAUGCUGGUGGUCAGCUUUCAUAACUGAGACCACUUAGAUCAGGGGUCACCAACCAUUUUGAAACUGCGAGCUACUUCAUUGGUACAGAGUUAUAAGAAGGGCUACCAGUGCUGACCUUUGAACUAAAAGGAAUCAGAGUUCACAUUAACUUUAUACAAAAUAAACACAUUUUCAUGCUUUGCUAUAGAUACUGUAACCGAUAUAACCUAUAUAAAUGCAAGUGUGAAUAAACAGGAAGAGUAAUGGAGAACAAAAUAAAGUUUUUGAUGCAGCUCA